rnacentral:rRNA from 1 species
AGAGUUUGAUCAUGGCUCAGAACGAACGCUGGCGGCAUGCCUAACACAUGCAAGUCGAACGAGACCUUCGGGUCUAGUGGCGCACGGGUGCGUAACGCGUGGGAAUCUACCCUUGGGUUCGGAAUAACUCAGAGAAAUUUGAGCUAAUACCGGAUGAUGUCGCAAGACCAAAGAUUUAUCGCCCAAGGAUGAGCCCGCGUAGGAUUAGCUUGUUGGUGAGGUAAAAAGCUCACCAAGGCGACGAUCCUUAGCUGGUCUGAGAGGAUGAUCAGCCACACUGGGACUGAGAUACGGCCCAGACUCCUACGGGAGGCAGCAGUGGGGAAUAUUGGACAAUGGGGGCAACCCUGAUCCAGCAAUGCCGCGUGAGUGAUGAAGGCCUUAGGGUUGUAAAGCUCUUUUGCCAGGGAAGAUGAUGACUGUACCUGGAGAAUAAGCCCCGGCUAACUUCGUG